rnacentral:rRNA from 1 species
GAUGAACGCUGGCGGCGUGCUUAACACAUGCAAGUCGAACGGUGAGACGCGUUGCUUGUUGGUGUGUGGUUAUGGGUGGCGAAGGGGGUAGUAACACGUUAGUAACCUUCCCCCUUCUGCUUGAUAACGGGAUGAAAGUGUUGCUAAUACGUGAUAUUCUGGAUCGGACGCAUGAUUGGUCUAGGACAGAUAUGGUGUCGGUUGUGGAUGGGUUCGCGCCGUAUCAGCUUGUUGGUGUGGUGAUGGCCUACCAAGGCGAUGACGGGUAGCCGGCCUGAGAGGGUCGACCGCACCGGAGGGAAUGAGACAUGACCACGCCUACUAGGGGCGGCAGCAGUGGGGAAUACGGCACAAUGGGAGCAAGGAUGAUGCAGCGCCGCGGCGUGAGGGAUGGUGUCCUGAGCGUUGUGAACUUCUUUUGCGAGUGAAGCAGGCCUGCAUUGUUUGUGCGUGGGUUGACGGUAGCUAGACAAGAAGCGACGGCUAACUACGUG